ensembl:lncRNA
GGGGUAGGCAGUGUGUCCAAGACUCUUCCACCGAAAAUAAACCUGCAAGAGAAGAGAGGGAGGAGGAGGAGGAAGAAGAAGAGAGAGAGGGAGGGAGGAGGAAGGGAGAGAGAGAGAGCCUUUCAACGGGGGACGGAGGGGGAAAAGACUCCGUUUUCAACGGAAUAAAAACUGCGCAAUUUCUUACGGCAACUCGCUCUGAUCGAUCCCGUUUGAUAUCCAUGUUAGUCUGGCGGACGGCUUGGAUUAUCGCAGCAUACGCAGGUUGGACCGAGGCGGUAGCUCUUUAUUUUCUACAGAUGUGUGGUCUUCAGGCAGCAAAAAAAAAGGCUGUGCAAUCAUUUAGGAAGGCGAUAUGACUUGGCAAGAUGCAACCUGCAACUGUGAUCGUCAUACCUGGGCAUGGACAUGGAAAUAACCUCAACGUGUCGGCGGUUUGUCCGGUUGAUCGAUCAGGCGUUGCUCGACGCAUUGAUCCCGAUCGCACCCGAUAUGUUUGAAUGAUGUUCCCAGACCCAGUGCCUCGUUUUUUUGGAGGGUUUUGGGGCUGCGUGGCUGAGCGGGCGUCAUCCAUUGGGAGGGAAGGUGGUCUGCGUUGCACAUUUUCACUAGUGCACUAUUUUAUUUACUACAACUAAGCCUCCCGAAGGAUUUCUGAGAUGCAUAUAAGGGAGGAGAAGAGGACUAGAAUGUGUGUGCACGAGCCAGCCAGGUUCUCGACUCCCCCGGCACCGGAUUGAAGCUGUGCACAACCUCUCGCCUAGGACUGAGGCUCGACAUGGCCAGUUCGCCAGGAUGGUACAUAACAGAGUGUCAAGGUACUUACUUUGCCCCCUCCACUCCCUGCGAAGGUAUGCACCAGUAUUACCUGCCCAGCCUUGGAGCCGAGUGAGGCGGUG